rnacentral:rRNA from 1 species
UACAGAGGUCUCAAGCGUUGUUCGGAAUCACUGGGCGUAAAGGGUGCGCAGGCCGCGCGGGCAGUCAAAUGUGUAAUUUCAGGGGCUCAACCCCUGGACUGCGCUUUGAUACUUUCCGUGCUAGAACCUUGGAGAGGAGUCUGGAAUUCUCGGUGUAGCAGUGAAAUGCGUGGAUAUCGAGAAGAACACUAACGGCGUAAGCAAGACUCUGGACAAGUGUUGACGCUCAUGCACGAAGGCUAGGGUAGCGAACGGG